rnacentral:rRNA from 1 species
UUAAAUUGAAGAGUUUGAUCAUGGCUCAGAUUGAACGCUGGCGGCAGGCCUAACACAUGCAAGUCGAACGGUAACAGGAAACAGCUUGCUGUUUCGCUGACGAGUGGCGGACGGGUGAGUAAUGUCUGGGAAGCUGCCUGAUGGAGGGGGAUAACUACUGGAAACGGUAGCUAAUACCGCAUAACGUCGCAAGACCAAAGAGGGGGACCUUCGGGCCUCUUGCCAUCGGAUGUGCCCAGAUGGGAUUAGCUAGUAGGUGGGGUAACGGCUCACCUAGGCGACGAUCCCUAGCUGGUCUGAGAGGAUGACCAGCCACACUGGAACUGAGACACGGUCCAGACUCCUACGGGAGGCAGCAGUGGGGAAUAUUGCACAAUGGGCGCAAGCCUGAU